rnacentral:rRNA from 1 species
UACGGAGGGUGCAAGCGUUAAUCGGAAUUACUGGGCGUAAAGCGCACGCAGGCGGUUGGAUAAGUUAGAUGUGAAAGCCCCGGGCUCAACCUGGGAAUUGCAUUUAAAACUGUCCAGCUAGAGUCUUGUAGAGGGGGGUAGAAUUCCAGGUGUAGCGGUGAAAUGCGUAGAGAUCUGGAGGAAUACCGGUGGCGAAGGCGGCCCCCUGGACAAAGACUGACGCUCAGGUGCGAAAGCGUGGGGAGCAAACAGGAUUAGAUACCCUGGUAGUCCACGCCGUAAACGAUGUCGAUUUGGAGGCUGUGUCCUUGAGACGUGGCUUCCGGAGCUAACGCGUUAAAUCGACCGCCUGGGGAGUACGGCCGCAAGGUUA